GACGUAGGGCGCGAGCGUUGUCCGGAUUUAUUGGGCGUAGAGAGCUCGUAGGCGGUUUGUUGCGUCGGCUGUGAAAACCCAUGGCUUAACUGUGGGCUUGCAGCCGAUACGGGCAGACUAGAGUUCGGUAGGGGAGACUGGAAUUCCUGGUGUAGCGGUGAAAUGCGCAGAUAUCAGGAGGAACACCGGUGGCGAAGGCGGGUCUCUGGGCCGAUACUGACGCUGAGGAGCGAAAGCGUGGGGAGCGAACAGG
rnacentral:rRNA from 1 species